AGUGAACGCUGGCGGUAGGCCUAACACAUGCAAGUCGAACGGCAGCACAGUAAGAGCUUGCUCUUACGGGUGGCGAGUGGCGGACGGGUGAGGAAUACAUCGGAAUCUACUUUUUCGUGGGGGAUAACGUAGGGAAACUUACGCUAAUACCGCAUACGACCUACGGGUGAAAGCAGGGGAUCUUCGGACCUUGCGCGAUGGAGUGAGCGGAUGUCGGAUUAGCUAGUUGGCGGGGGAAAGGCCCACCAAGGCGACGAUCCGUAGCUGGGCUGAGAGGAUGACCACCCACACGCGGACUGAGACCCGACCAGUGCACCUACGGGAGGCAGCAGUGGGGUUGUUCCCGCAAUCGGCGGAAGACUGAAGGAGCCUUGCCUCGUGGCGGUUGUAGUCCGACGAGUCGAGAACUUCUUUUCCCCUAGCAGAAGCAAUGACGGUACCUGGGGAAUAAGCAUCGGCUAACUCCGUG
rnacentral:rRNA from 1 species